rnacentral:misc_RNA from 1 species
AAGACUAUAGACCUGCGGAGUACCUGCGGAGGGAUCAUUACUGAGUAACGUGGUCUUUUAGACCCGCUACCCGCCCUAUGUCAUAUGUUGGACGAGGUCGUCUUUUAGGGGCGGCCUCCGACCCCACUUCCCGGGAAGCGUUGCGCCUCUUCAGGUCUAGGCCUUUGAUGGGGAUUGGGACCGCCCGGGGUCUUUUUCAAACCCUUUGUGAGAAAUCUGAAGUCUGAAGCGAAAGCUUAA